rnacentral:rRNA from 2 species
ACCCCAAACCGACACAGGUGGUCAGGUAGAGAAUACCAAGGCGCUUGAGAGAACUCGGGUGAAGGAACUAGGCAAAAUGGUGCCGUAACUUCGGGAGAAGGCACGCUGGCAUGUAGGUGAAGUCCCUUGCGGAUGGAGCUGAAGCCAGUCGAAGAUACCAGCUGGCUGCAACUGUUUAAUAAAAACACAGCACUGUGCAAACACGAAAGUGGACGUAUACGGUGUGACGCCUGCCCGGUGCUGGAAGGUUAAUUG